rnacentral:lncRNA from 1 species
AGCUUUGGAUUCAUAAGCUCAGUAAAUUAAGGAAUUUCACAUUAUGAACUCAAUUUGAGAUGGGUUGGACUGGUGAUACCUGGAAGGGGUAAAUGAGAACCCACUCUGGAGGCACUUUACGCCUGAGGGAGCAUCCACAAAUAAUUUUUCAGGGGCUGGAAACCUAACAAUUUCACUUCCUAGACAACUUGCUAAAAGUCACCUAAAGACAGUCUGGUUACUGCCAAAGAUAUGCUUUCAAAUAAGAUUUGGAUAAAGAAGGGAGGUAGAUGCCUUUUUUCAGCAGUGGAGUGAUGUCUAGACCAGUAGAUGUACGCAUCUAAGUGAAUUCAUCACCAGCAACAAUUUCCAGAAACUUCCUGACCUCCAGAUUGCAGCUUCAUUAGUGUGAGUUUAAAGCCAACUAGAUGCCAUUCUCAGAUUCCACGCAUAUGGCCAAGGGUCCAGGAAAUAAGAAGAAACAGGUUGAGGGGUUGGUGUUAUGGGGCAUUUACUUGAAUUUUCUAUGCUAUAAUUGUCUCAUCUUUAAAACGGUGAUAAUAAUAAAAUUGUCAGUUAUUAAAUAAAUUAACACAGUGAAA